UACGAAGGGGGCAAGCGUUGUUCGGAAUUACUGGGCGUAAAGGGCGCGUAGGCGGCUCUUGAAGUCAGGUGUGAAAGCCCCGGGCUUAACCUGGGAACAGCAUUUGAUACUCGAGAGCUUGAGUUCGGGAGAGGAGAGUGGAAUUCCCAGUGUAGAGGUGAAAUUCGUAGAUAUUGGGAAGAACACCAGUGGCGAAGGCGGCUCUCUGGACCGACACUGACGCUGAGGCGCGAAAGCGUGGGGAGCAAACAGG
rnacentral:rRNA from 1 species